rnacentral:rRNA from 1 species
CCCUUGUAUUAGUAAGGUGAUAUUAAUUAAUAUAUACAUUGAAAUUUAAUGAUUUUGGCGGUUGAUUAUUAAUUGGAGGAGCUUGUAUUUUGGUAGAAUUAGCUCUUUAUAUUUAAAUAAUUUAAAAUUUAUUCAUCUCCGUUAUUAAAUAAUAAAUUUAAAUAUAUAUAUAUAUGUAUACUUUGUAGUAUUUCAGGUCAAGAUGUAGUUUUAAUUGUAAAAUAUUAGCUACAUUAAUAUAAUUAAUUGAAUUAUUUUAAUUGAAGGAUUUCUGAUAGGAAAUUGAAUUUAAUUGUAAUUAUAAUUAAAGUUUUAUAAUGAAUAGGAAUGGUUAAUGUACAUAUUGCCCGUCACUUCUAUUAUAAGGA